rnacentral:ncRNA from 1 species
CGAUGAGGUAGAGGUUGCGGUUGUUAAGAGUACAUUCGCGGAGGCUGGAAGAAGCCAAUGAUCCGAAUGGGAAGGAAUAACCGCCGAAGUUCGCGUAACCCGCUUCCGGGACGCGUGCUGGGGUCGCUGUCGAAUAGGCACGACACUGUCAUACGCAGAUUACCCGUCUACGUAUGAUGCGCUAUCUUUAAG